GACGAACGCUGGCGGCGUGCUUAACACAUGCCAGUCGAACGGAAAGGCCCUGCUUUUGUGGGGUGCUCGAGUGGCGAACGGGUGAGUAACACGUGAGUAACCUGCCCUUGACUUUGGGAUAACUUCAGGAAACUGGGGCUAAUACCGGAUAGGAGCUCCUGCUGCAUGGUGGGGGUUGGAAAGUUUCGGCGGUUGGGGAUGGACUCGCGGCUUAUCAGCUUGUUGGUGGGGUAGUGGCUUACCAAGGCUUUGACGGGUAGCCGGCCUGAGAGGGUGACCGGCCACAUUGGGACUGGGAUACGGCCCAGACUCCUACGGGAGGCAGCGGUGGGGAAUAUUGCACAAUGGGCGGAAGCCGGAUGCAGCAACGCCGCGUGCGGGAUGACGGCCUUCGGUUGUAAACCGCUUUCGCCUGUGACGAAGCGUGAGUGACGGUAAUGGGUAAAGAAGCACCGGCUAACUACGUG
rnacentral:rRNA from 1 species